CUUGAGGGACAAUGUAUAUGGACAUGUAGGAGGGACUGGGGCUUAAGUCUAAUCCUGAGCUGGGAUUCGAGGCAGGAAUACAAAUCAGGAAAAAACAAUAGAGCAGAAAAGAGAAGUUUGGCAUCUGACUCAAGGUUGCAGCAACGGCAUGAAAUCUGCUCGCUCUGACCCUGGAAAUGCCCAGCUGGAGAACUGGUGUGCAUUUGUGAUGUCUGGGUGGACCAGCUGGGUAACAUCACCAUGCCUGUGCAUAGAGAAGGAAUGAUUCUCCCUCUUCCCUUUCACUGUAUCCAGAGUCUGCUAAUGAGGUCCAGAGGACUGACUGCAGAGCCCAUUUUUCCUUUGUAGGAGGCACAUAUGGUACAAUUAUAAAUUACCCAUACCCAAGCCAAAUACACACACACACACACAGAUUAAAUGUAAGCAGUUAAUGAAACAAACAUAUGAAUUAUAGCAGACAUCAAAGUAUCUCUUUUUCAGGGUUACCAUUUUGGAUUACCAUCUAGCCCAUUAGAUGUUUGCUGAAUAAAUUCAGACCAGUGUUAACCAAUAAAAUACAUAUCUACAUGAAUUAGAUGGUGGUCCAAUAUAAUAUUUUCUAUUAAGUAGUGAAUUGUCUUCUUUUAGAUAUUUUGAAAUUAAUGUCCUCUUUAUCACCUGCUAAAUCUGUAUGUUUUUGUUUAAACACAAUGGAACAAUUCAACAAGGUAUUAUAAGAUUUCAUCUAGUGAGGAUAAAAGCUGUUUAGAAAGCAUGACUUAAAAUUUCUCAAAGCUGUUUACUGUCUUGCCUAAAUUAUGCAGACAGAGCUUAUAUAUUAGGGCCUUUGGAUCUUUAGAUUGGAAACAUUUUCAGAUUUAGAAAAGCUUCAUUGUUUAGUUUGAACUUUUCCAUUUAAAAUAAUCAGAGGUGAAUGGGAAACAUAAUCCUCUUACUAAUGUGUUUUUUUAUGAGUGAAUGCUGAGAAACUUAACAUAAAGAUGCAAUCUGAAAAAAAGAAAUAGAAAAGAACUUUCUCACUUUCACUUAAUUACUAAUAAAAAAUUAUAAAAUAUAAAGCCUAAUGUUUAGUGUCAUCUCUUAUUGGAAUAUG